rnacentral:rRNA from 1 species
GUAAGGAAUAUUGGUCAAUGGAGGCAACUCUGAACCAGCCAUGCCGCGUGCAGGAUGACGGCCCUCUGGGUUGUAAACUGCUUUUAUUCGGGAAUAAACCUACUUACGUGUAAGUAGCUGAAUGUACCGAAGGAAUAAGGAUCGGCUAACUCCGUGCCAGCAGCCGCGGUAAUACGGAGGAUCCAAGCGUUAUCCGGAUUUAUUGGGUUUAAAGGGUGCGUAGGCGGCCUAUUAAGUCAGGGGUGAAAGACGGUAGCUCAACUAUCGCAGUGCCUUUGAUACUGAUGGGCUUGAAUACACUAGAGGUAGGCGGAAUGUGACAAGUAGCGGUGAAAUGCAUAGAUAUGUCACAGAACACCGAUUGCGAAGGCAGCUUACUAUGGUGUGAUUGACGCUGAGGCACGAAAGCGUGGGGAUCAAACAGGAUUAGAUACCCUUGUAGUCC